UACGAAGGGGGCUAGCGUUGCUCGGAAUCACUGGGCGUAAAGCGCACGUAGGCGGAUCGUUAAGUCGGGGGUGAAAUCCUGGAGCUCAACUCCAGAACUGCCUUCGAUACUGGCGAUCUUGAGUCCGGAAGAGGUGAGUGGAACUCCUAGUGUAGAGGUGGAAUUCGUAGAUAUUAGGAAGAACACCAGUGGCGAAGGCGGCUCACUGGUCCGGUACUGACGCUGAGGUGUGAAAGCGUGGGGAGCAACAGGG
rnacentral:rRNA from 1 species